AUACGGAGGGUGCAAGCGUUGUUCGGAAUUACUGGGCGUAAAGCGCGUGCAGGCGGUAAGGUAAGUCAGAUGUGAAAGCCCCGGGUUCAACCCGGGAAGUGCAUUUGAUACUGCCUUUCUUGAGUAUGGGAGAGGAGAGUGGAAUUCCCAGUGUAGAGGUGAAAUUCGUAGAUAUUGGGAGGAACACCCGUGGCGAAGGCGACUCUCUGGACCAAUACUGACGCUGAGACGCGAAAGCGUGGGGAGCGAACGGGAUUAGAAACCCUGGUAGUCC
rnacentral:rRNA from 1 species